rnacentral:tRNA from 1 species
GCGAGAAUGGCGGAACUGGUAGACGCGCUAGACUUAGGAUCUAGUGGGGUGACCUGUGGGGGUUCGAGUCCCCCUUCUCGCA